CCGUCCCUUCGAGCGAACGUCUGUGCCGCUCCGACGCGCGAACCGACUUCGACAACCGGUUUAUCCCGACUAUAAGACUAUUUGUUGAGUGACCAUAAUAAUUGUGCAGUGCUAUUCAAAUACUUUACAACUAACCGCAACUUUUGUGUGGCCAUACUCACAGUGAAGUGUUGUUUUCAAAGUUUUCUUGUGUUCCAAAGUGACUGGAUGUAUGGAAUCGGCUCCUUAGUGACGCAUUCUCUACUUUUCCAUUUGUCGAAAAGUCUCGCCUGAGACUUGCCAAGUAAUUUUGUAAAGUUGUAACUUUAAGUUACUUUGCAAAAGGGGACCUCCGCAAGCCACAGCGCAUGACAACGACUAACAGGAUUGGUGAACAUCUGGAACAUAACCAUGUCAUAAGGUUCAAAUUGGACAUGAGAGGAUGAGCCAUGGAAUCACGAAGCGCGCCGCCAAGCCCCGACGAGCCGGGGGAGGCGGUGUUCGACGCUCGUUGUGGACGCUACCCGGUGUCCGCUCUGCAGAGGACGUUCGCGAGCUGCAGAGAGACGGGUCGACCCAGACCUCACCACCGUCAUGCGGCCUCAGAACCGGCCAGGCCCGACGACCGGGUGCUCACGACGGCCGAAGUCCACGACUACCCCUCAUCAGAGUCCGGCAUCGCCGCCGACUGCCCACACCCCAACACCAGCAACGCUGACGAUAGCCCGUCUUACGACCGCUCCGAUUAUGAAGGAAACUCCAGCUACAGCUUAAGGCACACACCAGAUUACCACCACACCCUUGACUGUAAACACCGACCGAUUGACUAUAAUCGAAGCCAUACUCCAGAUUUCAAUCAUGGACGAGGAUCUGACUGUGACCAUCCACAUCCACGAUCGCAAACUUCUCGACGACCACACAGGAAACACAGACGAGAAGAAGAUGACGGAGCCCAAUCUCUUGACGAAAGGUGUGCCCGAGACUUGGACGAAAUAUUACCAGCGAGAUUGGCCGCUGUCAAUUUAUCAAGGGAACCGCCACCACAGACGUGGAACAGGAGUAACAUUGCCGCAACCAUGGAACGUUUCGAGCCUGUAGAUUACUCUUAUGCCUACUACGAUCAUCACUUAUCAAUGCCGUCGUCGUCUAGAAAAGCAAAUCGCCAACGCGGCCGCGGUGGUAUCCCGAGAGACCGAUCCAUGCGUCAUAAUUACGUAACGAGAUACGGAACUGAAGAAAACAUUUACGAAGAAAUCACAGAUGGCUCAAGAACUUGUCCAAAACAUCGAUAUGCCCCUCGACAGUCACUCGUCUCUCUAGACCGCAGUGUAGUGGAAGAAGAAGUGCGUCGAGUUGAAUCAAGGCAUAAACGAAUAUUGGGUGAACUGAAUCUUAGCGUAGAAGCUAUGUUGAUGCCCGAAUGUGAAUCCCCAGACUCGGAGCGAGCGGAAGAUAGAGAUAAUAUAGAGGAACUGCUCCGAGUGGGUCCGACGGAUGAGUUGCUAUCGCCGGCGAGCUGUAAUCCUCCGGAUUUAGAUAGCGGCUUCAGUGGCAGCAGUAGUGGAGCAAGUUACGUUGGCAGUUUGCGUCGAAAACCCACAGGUUCUGUGCCUCACUUGCCAGCUGUGGCAUAUGGCACUCGCGGGGCUGGUGUCCGCAUUCUGGGCGCAGAAGAAUGUGGCAUACGCUGCCCGAGAGACAUGCCAUCACCAAGGAGCUCCAGCUGUGGAGAUGCGAAAACCACGGGGUUUUGGAAUAAAAAGGCAUGGAAAAAAAUAUCUGGCUUUUCUAGCUCCAAUAGUAUCAACAAAGCUGGUCUCACUGGUCUGCUCGUUAGGUACACUUUCCGGCGUAAGUCCGGCUCGCAGGGCUCUCAGGGCAAGCGGCGCGCUGAGCCCGUCAAAUGCGAUGCGUGCCUCUCACAACGGUGUUAGCCGCACUAUGAUGAAGCCUGUAGGCCAAGCAGAGCUAAAUCCAGAACGACCACUAUACCAUACAGCUACUCAAACGGAAAACUGGUGGUGCCGCUGGAUUCCCUAGCACAGAGCUGAGGGGGGCAGCCCCCUCUCCAUCCCCGCUUCCAAAUCCUCCGAGGGACUCCUCGACGCGAUAGGACAAAGAUAAACGCAAAAGUGUCCGACUUUGUGUCUUAAAUGUGCUAUUACGCAUGCCAUAAGGUACAUUUUCGUAACAUUCCAAGACUUUGAUGCGAUCGGCCUGUGUCUAAAAGACCUGGUGAAGGUGUACAUACAGUGAACAACCACGAAUGAUAUUUAUAAACGAGGCGGUAUACGGAGAGCGAAGUGAUACUAUAGCCUAAUUAAUGAUUUGUAUUGUUAUGACGAUCGUUUCAUAGAAACGUAAUAACUACGUUGUUGUUACUAAUCAAUUUUUAGUAGGUAAUAGGUACAUGAAAAGGCUGAAAAAGUUGAAUCAGAUUUUGUAUGACUUAUGAUGCUGCCAUUUUAGCUUGUAAAUGUCCGUUCUCUACUUACCUACUACUUUUUUGAUGUUCAAUAUUGACUUUUUCUAUAACUGGUGUAUUAAAUAUUACUGAAGCAUAUUCAUAUGUGUCUAUGUCAGCUUUACUGUUUUAUUCUUCGUGGAUUAAUAGACUAUUGAAUAGACCCCAUUAAAUUUAAUUGAAGUAAUCCUACAUACACAGUCUGCUGACCUCACUUGUACAGUUAAAUUCAAAAGUGGAGAGAGAAAAUUCUUUAGCCAGAAAACUGAUGGCCUAGAUUUGUAAAAAGAUGAGUAUCAAAUCAACCAUACUAAGCUUUGUUUGAUGUAAGAUGUUAUAAGUUCUUCUACCUUUUGACAUUGAUUGUAUUUAUAAAUUGGUUAGCAGAGUUUUUACAUCGGCACCGUACAGUUUUGUUGUCUCCCAAAUUUUAUAUUUAAAUCGUAUUUUAGUCACCAUAAUCCAAUUGUAAAAGCUAUUCUAAAUGGUCCAACCUAAUUAUUUUUUUAU